GGUGAUUCUCAGUUGACACAUCCUGGAAUCCGGCUCCCUCCUCUCUGGUUCUGGGUGUGUCACCCAAGAACUGCA
rfam:Myotis davidii contig96802, whole genome shotgun sequence.